rnacentral:misc_RNA from 1 species
AGCAGCCGCGGUAAUUCCAGCUCCAAUAGCGUAUAUUAAAGUUGUUGCAGUUAAAAAGCUCGUAGUUGAAUUUCGGGAUCAAUGCGUCGGUCGUGCUUUCGGGUACGUACUGGUGUCAUUGGUUUCUCCUUUCUGACGAGCCGUGAUGUCAUUAAUUUGGUGUUACGGGUAGUUAGGACUGUUACUUUGAAAAAAUUAGAGUGUUUAAAGCAGGCAUUAGCUUGAAUACAUUAGCAUGGAAUAAUGAAAUAGGACGUUCGAUCCUAUUUUGUUGGUUUCUAGGAUCAACGUAAUGAUUAAUAGGGAUAGUUGGGGGCAUUAGUAUUCAAUUGUCAGAGGUGAAAUUCUUGGAUUUAUUGAAGACUAACUACUGCGAAAGCAUUUGCCAAGGAUGUUUCCAUUAAUCAAGAACGAAAGUUAGGGGAUCGAAGACGAUCAGAUACCGUCGUAGUCUUAACCAUAAACUAUGCCGACUAGGGAUCGGAUGAUGUUAAUUUUUUAAUGACUCAUUCGGCGCCUU